UGCAGGUCCUGACGCUGGCCGGCAGUGAGGUGGUCACGAACACCUACGCUGAUGGGCGGACUGGUGUGGUGGUGAUGCCUGGGCUGGCGUCUCAGGCCUCCGACCCUCCGAUGCAAGGCGUGCACAUGAGGAUCAGCUCUUCUUCUUCAGCUCAUUCACCGAGAUCUGACAUUCCAUUCUUCUCUUCAUCAUCAGCAAACAUUCUUCCAUUGAGUAUGGUGACAACCAUUUCUUCCAGCGCAAGUAACUCCCAUGGGAUGCAGGCGAAUUCAAACAGAAACAUCCAUCGUCGUAAUACCAUAAAUUCAUCAUCUGAUGACAAAACUGAGAUAAACAUGACAUUUCAACUUUUAGAUGAAGGGGAAAAGAAAAUCCACUUAAGUGAACGAUACAAGAGUGUAUCCUUAGUGUUAGGUAAUACGGGAGCUGGAAAGAGUACUUUUCUUCAGUGGAUCGCUGGGGACAACGACAAGUUGAUAGCAAAAGAAGUAUAUGAGGGCAAUGGAGUAUAUCUCAUUGAAGAUGGCAAUAGAAUUGGUGAUUCAACUUUACAAUCUAUGACAAUUUUC